rfam:Nematostella vectensis strain CH2 x CH6 NEMVEscaffold_3898_Cont46486, whole genome shotgun sequence.
GUUGCGGUGGCCGAGGGUUAAGGCGUUGGACUACAAAUCUAAUGGGAUCUUCCCGCGCAGGUUCGAAUCCUGCCCACAACG